CCUACGGGAGGCAGCAGUGAGGAAUAUUGGUCAAUGGGCGCGAGCCUGAACCAGCCAAGUAGCGUGAAGGAUGACUGCCCUACGGGUUGUAAACUUCUUUUAUAAAGGAAUAAAGUGAGGCACGUGUGCCGUUUUGGAUGUACGUUAUGAAUAAGGAUCGGCUAACUCCGUGCCAGCAGCCGCGGUAAUACGGAGGAUCCGAGCGUUAUCCGGAUUUAUUGGGUUUAAAGGGAGCGUAGAUGGUUUGUUAAGUCAGUUGUGAAAGUUUGCGGCUCAACCGUAAAAUUGCAAUUGAUACGGGCAGCCUUGAGUACAGUUGAGGUAGGCGGUAUUCGUUGUGUAGCGGU
rnacentral:rRNA from 1 species